CAAAGUGGCUGCUGUUGAGAGAGGCGAUGUUGCAGCGAACAUCCUGGCACCACUGUUUUUCCUCAGUUAUAUACGACCAUGAGAAUCAUGUCUGUUGGGGCUUCAAAAACUAAAUCAACCCAAAUAUAUAACAAAAGAAGCAUGAGAGAAGUGUGAAAAUCAAGAAUGGAGUUUUCAUUUUCUGAAUUCAAGAUUCCUCUAUUUUCAGAAGAUCAAAUGAGGAACUGUCACCUUGCAGGGAACAGCUGUUUUCUGUGGCAGAUGGGAAGAAGGGAUGUGGCCAAUGACAAUUAUCCCUUAAAGCUGCCCCGGAAUUGACACGUCUCUUUGCUCCUACCUCUUUGAAUGAACUAGUCUCAUGCCCAUGCUGACUCCAAGGGGCCAAGAGAUGCAAUCCAACCAUCUGACUGGGACGAACCAGACCCAUGGUGAAGAGAACAAGUUUAUUUCCAGUGCUAUGUGUCCUAGCUCUGUAAGCACGAUGGAAGAAGUUGAAGACAAAGCAAGAUUAUGAAACCUAUGCAAGAUAACCCCCUAGCACGCAGUCCCGAUGCUCACAUGUUUCAGAGAUGGUUGAUAGAAGAUCUAUGUACUCAAGAGUUUCUGCAUCAAGGCCCUUUUCUAUUGACUUGCUAUUUGCAAAUGGUCUUGAUGAGGCACUACUAAGGGGUUCGCCAGAGAAACAGAGCCAAUAGGAGAUACAUGUGAUUAUUGAAGCUGAGACGUCCUAUGACCUGCCAUCUGCAAGCUGGAGACCCAGGAAAGCCAAUGUCAUAAUUCAGUCUGAGUCUAAAAACCUGAGGACCAGGAGAGCAGAUGGUAUAAAUCCCAGUCUGAGGGCAGGAGAAGAUGAGAUGAGAUGUCCCAGUUCAAACAGUGAGGCAGAGAUAAAAGGUGAAAAUUCCUCAUUCUUUUGACUUUUGUUCUAUCCAGCCCCUCAGGUGAUUAGAUGAGGCCCACCCACAUUGGGGAGGACAGUCUGCUUUACUUGAUUAUACCAAUUCAAAUGCUAAUCUCACCUGGAAACACCCUCACAGACACACCCAGAAAUAAUGCUCAAUCUGGGUGCCUUGUGGCCCAGUCAAGUUGGCACAUAAGAUUAACUAUCACACACACACACACGUAUAAAAUGAUACAGCCUCAGUUACACAGGGCUCCAGCUUGCUCUUGGGAAGGUGCCGGAGCAGUUUGUUGAGCGCAUGUUUGGUUGCCUACCAUAUGAGUUUCCCACUGACUACUCAUUAUAAG
rnacentral:lncRNA from 1 species